rnacentral:rRNA from 1 species
CAGGGGAUAGACAACAGGGAUGCCUCAGUAACGGCGAGUGAAGCGGCAACAGCUCAAAUUUGAAAUCUGGCCGCAAGGUCCGAGUUGUAAUUUGUAGAGGAUGUUUCGGGCACCGCCGCGGUGUAAGUUCCUUGGAACAGGACGUCAAAGAGGGUGAGAAUCCCGUCUUGGAUCGCGGUAGGGCUCGUGUGAAACUCCUUCGACGAGUCGACUUGUUUGGGAAUGCAGGUCAAAAUGGGAGGUAAAUUUCUUCUAAAGCUAAAUAUUGGCCCGAGACCGAUAGCGCACAAGUAGAGUGAUCGAAAGAUGAAAAGCACUUUGAAAAGAGAGUUAAACAGUAUGUGAAAUUGUUGAAAGGGAAGCGCAGGCAACCAGACUCGAGCGCGGGGUUCCCCUGGUUCUGCCAGGUCACUUCCCCGCGACCGGGCCAUCAUCAGGUUUGGGGGUCGGUCAAAGGCCCCGGGAAUGUACCUACUCCUUCGGGGGUAGACUUAUAGCCCGGGGCGUCAUGCGACCUCCCGGGCCUGAGGAACACGCUUCGGCGAGGAUGAUGGCGUAAUGGUUGUCUGCGACCCGUCUUGAAACACGGACCU